rnacentral:rRNA from 1 species
AUUGAACGUUGGCGGCAGGCCUUAUACAUGCAAGUCGAACGAGAAAGCACUUCGGUGUGAGUACAGUGGCGGACGGGUGAGUAACGCGUAGGAAUCUACCUAGUAGUGGGGGACAACUCGGGGAAACUCGAGCUAAUACCGCAUACGACCUUCGGGUGAAAGUGGGGGACCUUCGGGCCUCACGCUAUUAGAGGAGCCUGCGUUGGAUUAGCUAGUUGGUGAGGUAAAGGCUCACCAAGGCGACGAUCUAUAGCUGGUCUGAGAGGACGAUCAGCCACACUGGAACUGAGACACGGUCCAGACUCCUACGGGAGGCAGUAGUAGGGAAUCUUGGUCAAUGGGCGCAAGCCUGAACCAGCCAUGCCGCGUGUGCGAAGAAGGCCCUAGGGUUGUAAAGCACUUUCAGUCGCGAAGAAAUGCUUACGGUUAAUAACCGUGAGUUUUGACGUUAACGACAGAAGAAGUACCGGCUAACUCCG